CGUAUACACCCCUGGGAACUUUCUAGAAGCACUCACCUUUUCCUUUCUUCCAGUGGAGACGUUGCCCGAGAGCAUCAAGAACUGGUUGGAAGCUGUGUGUGAGAGAGAGGCGAGUUGCACAAAUUUGCGAGCAACUCAAAAUAGCUCUGGGUAAAUAAAGGGGGCAUCAGUUCACGACUGCUCUGAAAGAAAAUAGGCAAUUAUUUGAGGAGGGAGGUAGAGAGGCCAUCAGAUGUAGCCAGGAAUAUCUGAAAAUGUGCCAAGCUGCUGCUGCCAUGGCUCUUGUCCUCUUCAUAUAUAAGAGUCUCUUACACUCUCUCUUCGGUGGGAGCGAAGAGCAGGUCCCUGAGAUUGACGCGUGUGAUGCGCUGCCGUGUGGGUCUGGAGCCCGAUGAAGCGGCUCCGCCGGACAAAGAGGGACCUGUUCCCGAUCCCUGCAGGCUGCAGAAGAGGAGGAUGGAGAGUCCAAAAUUCUCCUCUUCUUCCUAGGGCCGAUGGCUGCCAGUGCCGUCAGGUUGGCCUCCCUCUGUCUCAUCUGAGCCAGCUCCUGCUGCUGCAUCUGGACAACGAG